rnacentral:lncRNA from 1 species
GCUGCAGUCUAAUCGCUGCUGAGAAUCCUGGUACUUCCAGAAAUUCCUCUCUGGCCCGUGUUGGGCUUCAUCUUGUACACAGAGGGGAGCGGAGGGAAGGAAGAUGGAGUGCUGCUCUGUGGCCUGCCUGGGAAGACCUCCGUUUUGUACGGCUUUCGCUCUCAGGGUGAUAAGCUCUUCACCGAGCGCAGUGAAUUUGCUCCUGCCAGGUGUGCGGAGCAGAGAGCAUCAGGGGUCAGCAGGGGUCAGGCCCUCCCUCCUGCGCUCUGGUAAACAGUCAGGGUGUGGGGUACAGUGAGAAAGGGUGUCAUUUCAGUUCCUAUUACGGUUUUACAGCCUCUGGGCCAGCUUCAUCCUCCGGAAAAUCAAGGCAGCAAGUCCUCUGGAGGAGCCGCGGCCCUGUUUUCUAGGCGGGCAGACGACUCUGCAGACAAGGCGAGGACGCGCGGCUGCGACUCACCUCGGCCGCAGACGGGGCUCCGAGGAGCUGCAGGCCUCCGGGCCUUAGGCUGCCCUCACCCUCCGCUGAGGGAUGAGGAGGGUGCGGGCUGCUACUGUCAUCACUGGAAACCCCCACAGUCCGGUAAACUCAGGGACCAGGGAUCUUCAGGUGCACCGUGGCCUGGGCCCGGCAGCGCAAAGUCCCCUCUCAGGCCCGCUCUGCACACACAGGGCCUCUGCGGCCCGCCAGGCCCCUCUCUUCCCCCGCAGGGCCCGGGGUCUGGGGCAGGGGCUGUCUUCCUUCUGCCCACCCCACCCCACCCAGCCUCACCCAGCUCCUUCUGCACGCUCAGUGCGGAUAACAGUGCAGGGCACUGCUCUAUGCCCCUCUGAGUCGCUCCUGUGAAUAAACGCUUGGGGUGUGGAAUCGGAGCCCUGUGGCAGCCUGGAACCAGGGACUCAGGUCUUGCUAAAUUGCCCAAGUGGGACUUGAACGUGUGUUUCUCCUGUCUUGGCCACCCAAAGUGCUGCAUCUUUAAAUGACCUUCAAAGUGUUUGUUUGCUUGAGAAGGCCCUCCAGAGAAAUAUGCAAGGAACCUGCUAAAACUCAGCCAGUCACUCUGGCACACUCUUUUAUGUGAACUAAAGUCAACUUCACUCAUUAUCAAACCAAAUUCUCCACCCAGAAGGAUUCCUGCCCUGCACGUUUUUCAAUGUUUUGAACCAUUUUUCUCCAUCAGUUUUUGGAGCACAUGAUGUAGGACCUUGAACUGAGCCUGCUUAGGCAUGUGAAUGUGCCCGCUCUGCAUGUGACGACAGUCUUUCCUGGACGAGUCUGUGGGGAUCCCCCAUGGAAGCCCUGCUCUUCUCUGUCCAGGGAGACACUUCAGUGACAGUCACCCCCAUGCUGCAAGAUGAACCAUCCCUGAGAGAGGUGGCAAUGUAUUUCGUGACCUGACCUCAGAAAUCCUGUACAGUCACCUCAGCCAUGUUGUCUCGCUGCAGAAGAGCCCUUAAGUCUGGCUCCCAUUCAAGGUGCCUUACGGAAGAACAUACGUAUUUGCUUCCUGUUUUUAUCCUGAGAGAAGUGUCUGCGGAAUCAAACUUGGGACCUUGUGCUUGCAAGGCAGGUGUGAGUACCACUGAGCUAAAUCCCUGGCCCUGGAUAAAGCUUCUAUAAAUAUGUGUGUACAAGGUUUUGUGUGGCCAUAAAUUUUUAACCCAUUUGAGUAAAUACCAAGGGGAAUGACUGCUGGGUCAUAUGGUAAAAAACUGUUUACUUUGUAAGAAUCUGCCACACUGUCUAUAAAACGGUCCAUAUUAUUAUUAUUUUUUUUGUUGUUACCGGGGAUCGAACUUGGGCCCUUGCGCUUGCACAGCAGGUGGUGAAACCACUGAGCUAAAUCCCCGGCCAGGAUCCAUAUUAUUUUGACUUCCCACCAACAAUGAGUGGGAGUUCCCGUGGCCCCACGUCUUCCCCGCAUUUGAUGUUGUCAGGGUUUUGCAUUUGAGUCCUUCUAGCAGAUGGACAGUGGUAUCUUCUUUUAAUUUGCAAUUCCCUAAUGACAAAUGAUGCCCAGCAUCUUCUCAUAUGCACGUAUGUCAUUGUAUAUCUUCUUGGGUGAGGUGUUUGUUCUGGUUUUUGCCCAUUUUUAAUUGGCUUUUUUGUUUUCUUAUUCUUGAAUUUAAAGAUUUCUUUGUAUCUUUUGGGUAACUGUCCUUUAUCAGAUGUGUCUUUUGCAUAUUUUCUCCCAAUCUAUAGCUUGUUUUCUCAUUCUUGUUGCAGGAUCUUUUGCAGAGAAAGUCUUAAUUUUAAUGAUGUCACCUUAUCAAUUACUUCUUUCAUUGAUAGUGGCUUUGGUGUCAUGUCUAAAAGUCAUCACUAUACCCAAGAUCAUCUAGAUUAGUGAUGGCAAAACUUUUAGAGACCUAGUGCCAAACUACAACCAAAACCCACUUAUUUAUCAUAAAGUGCCAACACUGCAAUUAAACCUGAGAUUUUAGUUUAGAAAAACCAACUCUAUAUCAACAUCUUUUGCCUUAAACGAAAAACACAAUAACACGUUUGCCACCACUGAUCUAGAUGCGUUCCGAAGUUACCUUUUCAGUGUGCUAUAGUUUAUAUUUCACACUGAAGUCUAUGACCCAUUUUGAGUUAGUUUUUGUGAAGGGUGUAAGUUCAAUGUCUAGACUGGUUUCUUUGCAUGUGGAUGUCUAGUUGUUCCAGCACUGUUUGUUGAAAGACUACCCUUGCUGGGCAUGGUGGCCAAUGCCUAUAAUGCCAGCUACUUGGGAAGCUGAGCAGGAGGAUCACAAGUUCAAGGCUAGCCUGGGCAACACAGUGAUAACCUGUCUGAGAAUAAAAGUAAGCCUCUUCUCUUUGUCAAGGACUAGCUGAUUAUAAUGGUGUGGGUCUAUUUCUUGGCUCUCCACUCAGUUUCACUGAUCUACUGUUUUUAUUUUGUUCUUUAUUUUUUUCUCCAGUACUGGGACUGAACCCAUGGGCUUGCACAUGCUAGGCAAGUGCUCUACCACUGGGCUUCAUCUCCAAUUCUUUUUUUUUUUUUUUUUUAAGAGGUGGAGUCUUGCCAUGCUGCCCAGCCUCCUGCUUCAGCCUCUCAAGUAGAGGCUCAAUUUUUCUUCUGGUUUUCACUUUGUCACGAGAUUUGCUCUACCACCUACUCUGGCAAGUCUAGUCAUUUCCCUGCAUCCUUCCACCUCGUGACUGUCCUGGUUAUUCUCAGCCCUGCCACAUAGUGGCCAUCAUCUUUCCCACCUUGUUGACUCCACUCUGGUUCCCAGAUGCUAUAUCCUUCCUUUUCUUUCUUUUCCUGAAACCCAUCAACUAUUAGUUCCUAGGAAAAGGUGCAUGGAAGAUGCAUUUUCAUAGUCCUUGCAUGUCUGAAAAUUCUUUUAUCUGCCUUCAUUCUUGAUCAAUAGUUUGGUUGAGGGUAGAAUUUAAGGUUAUUUAUUUAUGUAUCUAUUUGGCAGUGCUAGGGCUUGAACCCAGGGCCCUGUGUGUGCUAGGCAAGUGGUUCACCACUGAGCUAGCUGCACCCCCGGCUCCUUAACUCAAUUCUUUUAAAACUUAGAAGGCACUGAUUAUUUUCUUCUAGCAUCCAAUGUUGUUCUUGAAGUCAAUUUCAUGUUCAUUCUUGUUCUUCUAGUUUCCAUCCUCUUUGGAAGUUCUAGGUUUCCCAAUUUGUCCCUUGUGACCCUUUAUGAUGAUGUGCCUUUUUGUAUCAGUCAAGGUAUUUGCUAAAAUAAAAAAAGUCAACUAAAAUGGACCAUACUGUAAGUACUUUCUUUUGGUACUGGGGUUUGAACUUGGGACCUUGCGCUUGCGAGGCAGACGACGGAACCACUGAGCUAAAUCCCUG